GAAGGAAGCCUGUACAGACUAAAAGUAUUCCAAAACAUGCAUCCUGUUUGCAACAAGGCACUUAAAUAAUAUAACAUAUUAUUGAGUACUGUAGUAAAACGCCAAAUGGAUCUACCUCCUGGUCCUCUUCCCCUGUCUUACCCACCAAGGGUAGAGACAGAGAUGACCUCGCCUACUGAAAUACCGGAUUGGGCAAAGCCACCAGAAGACGACUCAAGCCAACCAACUACUGAGCCUGACUGGUGUCAGGAAGAAUCACCCUCUGCCUCAAGUGACACCUCUGAAUGGGAACAGCUGAUAGACUCAUUGCUGAUAGAGCGAGGGCACUGUCAUAACCAGAGGCCCAUAUAUGCACGAUAAGAAAAGUGUUUCCUCAUUGUUGCAAGAGCAAAGGGCUCUGUCAUAACCAGAGGCCCAUAUAUGCACUGUAAGAAAAGUAUUUCCUGUUGUAAGAUAUGUCAUCACCCUCUCUGCUCUGGGGGAAUGGGAGGAGCAGCAGAUCGGGUGCAGAGAAUCAAAAGGUAUAUAAAGAGACAUUUGCCAUUACUUUGGCGCUGACUUCUUGAAUUCUGAAUUCAUUUAGGCAACCAUUUGACUUCGGGUAAUUGCCACCUGACUCAAAUUACUUAAAGAUUCUAACUUGCUGGAUACCAGGGUAAGAGUCCGUUUACCUAUCGAUCAGUUGACCCUGUGUGCAGCAUACCGUUGGACCGAGUGUACCGUUGGGCCACGUCUUAAUUGACCAGGAACACUGUAGCACCGGCCGGGUUGCUUGCCCCAGGCACUGCGGUAGAUCAACGGCAGAAUUACCACCUGCUGAAAACGGUUGGAAAGUUGCUCGAAUCGACUCUGUCUCCGACUGACCCAGUGACACGUGUACUGUUGCGACACAGUGCCUUGCCCUGGACUCACGGUUGCAGGUUGUUUGACAAUACUAUCCAGCCUUAGGGCAGGUUAGAGUACUCAGUCUAACUUGAAUCUCGAAAUUUAGUACCAGGGUAAGAGUCCGUUUACCUAUCGACCAGUUGACCCUGUGUGCAGCAUACCGUUGGACCGAGUGUACCGUUGGGCCACGUCUUAAUUGACCAGGAACACUGUAGCACCGGCCGGGUUGCUUGCCCCAGGCACUGCGGUAGAUCAACGGCAGAAUUACCACCUGCUGAAAACGGUUGGAAAGUUGCUCGAAUCGACUCUGUCUCCGACUGACCCAGUGACACGUGUACUGUUGAGACACAGUGCCUUGCCCUGGACUCACGGUUGCAGGUUAUUUGACAAUACUAUCCAGCCUUAGGGCAGGUUAGAGUACUCAGUCUAACUUGAAUCUCGAAAUUUAGUACCAGGGUAAGAGUCCGUUUACCUAUCGACCAGUUGACCCUGUGUGCAGCAUACCGUUGGACCGAGUGUACCGUUGGGCCACGUCUUAAUUGACCAGGAACACUGUAGCACCGGCCGGGUUGCUUGCCCCAGACACUGCGGUAGAUCAACGGCAGAAUUACCACCUGCUGAAAACGGUUGGAAAGUUGCUCGAAUCGACUCUGUCUCCGACUGACCCAGUGACAUGUGUACUGUUGCGACACAGUGCCUUGCCCUGGACUCACGGUUGCAGGUUAUUUGACAAUACUAUCCAGCCUUAGGGCAGGUUAGAGUACUCAGGCUAACUUGAAUCUCGAAAUUUAGUUGAACCAACGAUUCCUCAUGGGAGAGAUCGAUACAUAAACUAAAUUCUCAGAACUCUGACCGAUUGAAACUCUGCUCCUGAUCUCGUGGGUCUCCUCGUCAUCUCUCAAAGACAGUUAACGGCACGGGAGAUAACAACUCUGACACUCCCCGCUACCGGGACACUGGAAACGGAGAGUCGGGGCUCUAUGACGGAAUGAGUUACUGUUAAAAGACAAAGAGGAA